UACGUAGGGGGCAAGCGUUGUUCGGAUUCAUUGGGCGUAAAGGGUGCGUAGGUGGCGCCGUAAGUCGGGUGUGAAAUUUCGGAGCUUAACUCCGAAACUGCAUUCGAUACUGCGGUGCUUGAGGACUGGAGAGGAGACUGGAAUUCAUGGUGUAGCAGUGAAAUGCGUAGAGAUCAUGAGGAAGACCAGUUGCGAAGGCGGAUCUCUGGGCAGUUCCUGACACUGAGGCACGAAGGCCAGGGGAGCAAACGGG
rnacentral:rRNA from 1 species